UCUUGUUCAUUCUUCUUUCCUCUUCUUCUCUGUCUCUCUUCUUUCCCUUCUUCUGCGAGUUUCGAUUGAGAGAAUCGAUUGGUGAUGUUGUGUAGAUGAUAAGGGAGACGUUAUUGUUGUGAAUCUUGAAGGAGAACAAUUAGAGAUUGUUAGGGUUUGAUUGAAGUGAUAAAUCAAAGAGAAUCAAAGAGAUGGGAUUCUGAGUUUGAGUUCGUAUGCAAUUGAAAAGCAUGUUGAGUCAUUGACAGAUGUAGAACAAAGGGGUUGAUGUUCAAUUGAUGUUCUGAAGUUGUUCUGAUGAUGAAUCAAAUAGAAAAGUUGGACUUGAUUAACAACGAUCGAUCCGAAGGAUGAAGUAGUGGAUGGUGGAUUUCGAGAUAGACGUGGUUGCCUACAAAACAGGUUUAGUAUUUGGGGCGUCACACGAGAGCACCUACCUUAAGUUCUCAUGGCUUGCCUUGCUGUUGAUUAUAACUAUUGGAGAUUGCUUUGUUGCUAUUAAUGCUCGCUCUACCACCGCUAACAAAUGACGAAGAGGAGCCAGAUGCUGCAGAUGAAAGCACGGAGCCGAACGAAUAACAAAAACAGAAGAGGGUCGAUACGUCGUUUCGUACGAACACAGUCUAUAGAUUUUGAACAGAAUAAGGAUUCCUUAUUGCUCGAUGAACGGGAAUAGAUGACUAGGUGCACCACAUUCAUGCUCCAUAGCCGAACAAGUACUGUGCCAAUAUCUCCGCUCCAUGACCGAACCAGAAAGCGCGCCAGCACGAAUAACACCAGUCGCUCAACCUACAAUGCUCCAUGGCACCAGCACUCCGUGGUCAGGCCAACUCUCUAUGGCUCCAGUACUCCGUGGUCAAGCCAACUCUCCAUGGCUCCAGCACUCCGUGAUCAAAGUCGUGUUAUCUCCGUUCAUCAUGUGACCUAGACGGAUCCAUCCUCACUGUUUGGUAGCCAAAGUUCCAAAUGCUUUUUCCACCAUUCCACGGAUUGAAGCCAGUUUUCAUCGCUCCAUGGACUGAAGCUAGGCACCAUUCACCUUUCCAUAGCCAGCAGCGCCACGGCCAAGCCAAGCCAACAGCGCCGACAACUCCACGACCAAGCCGAGCCAAGCCAGCAGCGCCAACGGCUUCACGGCCAAGCCAAGCCAGCAACGCCAACGGCUCUACGCCCUAGCCAGCACCAACAACUUGCAUCCUUCUCAGCGCCAACUUUUCCGCUCCUGACAAGUGUCAUCCGCAGCCCAAGUGAUGAGUGCUAAAAAGUGCAUAUUUCUAUAUAUUUUUUUCUUGGCAUUUAACUCAUCUUUUGUGCAUUAAUUCUACAUUUUAUCC